rnacentral:lncRNA from 1 species
GAUGUUGACAAGAUAAUGGAUGAGAUAAACAAAUAAACAGAGAACAUGAAGCAGAUACAGGAAGCCUUGGCUACCCCCAUUGGUACAGCAGUUGAUUUUGAUGAGGUUCUUUGCUCAUCUCUAAUUCUACUUAUUUGAAGUUUAAUUUAUAUUGAAGUUAUCUCAUUGAUACACAUGAGUUAUAUAAGCAAUUUAACGUCAUAAUUUUUUCAUUAUGACUGGACGAAUUGGGGGCGAGCUUGAAGAAUGGGAAGGUGAAGAGUUAGAGGAACAGCUUCUUCAGCUUGCAACCAGGGCCCCUGCUACUCUAUUUCACGUCUCAGAAAGAUGGCAGAGUACUUGCUUGCCCUGCUCCUAAGAAACAUACAGAGGAAGAUGAACUUGUCGCUUUGAUCAUCAUGAGUAUCCAAGCCACACUUCAGUAUUCUUUUGUCUGUCUAUUCUUAACUUUUCUAGCACUACAUCAGCACUAUUGUUCCUGGGUAUUGCUCGACUAGUGUCAGUAUAAAACAUUUCUGGCGCCACGUAUUUAGACUCAUUAUGUAGAUGUUCGCCGUGGUUCAUAAGCCAUUUGUUGGUUCUUAUUGCAUUUUCAAGCAUAUAUUGUGAUUUGUAUUUGAUUUGAGACAACAUAAUUAGAUUUCUCUAUUGAACAACUGCACUUGCGUAUUUUUAC